AUAUAGGUUAUAUAUAUCAUGUGACUUAAAGCUUUCCAUGCAGAAAGCGUUUCAAUCAUUGACCAAGUUCUCUUGAACUUUAACCGAUCAACCGAGAUAUAUUCAUAACCCGGUUGAUGACUUGAUGCUCGAUGUUCGUUUCUCUUAGGAAGUGCUGACAGGAUCAAGAUGUUUCUCUGGAUUAAUGACAUGUAUAAGUGCAAGAAGCGAGCUUCAUCUUGGUAACAUAAAGACGCUGAGAGUAGGCUACUAUACGAAGAGGGUGGCAUAAUAAGGCAUGAGUCUCGUGGGUUGGGCAUUGAUCAUGUAUGGUAUGCCAGGGGGGAUAAGGCUCUAUCCACCAUCAAACUUGCUGCUGCUUCCGCUCUAUUGUCUACCCACUUGUUAUUCUCUUGCUUUUUUUUAUAACCCAUAUCCACGUAUGGAUUGAGAUAUGAGUACGAAUUCAUAUUCAAAAUUCUUUGUAAUCGAUUCACAAAAUUU
rnacentral:sRNA from 1 species